AGUGAACGCUGGCGGUAGGCCUAACACAUGCAAGUCGAACGGCAGCACAGUAAGAGCUUGCUCUUACGGGUGGCGAGUGGCGGACGGGUGAGGAAUACAUCGGAAUCUACUUUUUCGUGGGGGAUAACGUAGGGAAACUUACGCUAAUACCGCAUACGACCUACGGGUGAAAGCAGGGGUUCUUCGGACCUUGCGCGAGUGAAUGAGCCGAUGUCGGAUUAGCUAGUUGGCGGGGUAAAGGCCCACCAAGGCGACGAUCCGUAGCUGGUCUGAGAGGAUGAUCAGCCACACUGGAACUGAGACACGGUCCAGACUCCGACGGGGGGCAGCAGUGGGGAAUAUUGGACAAUGGGCGCAAGCCUGAUCCAGCCAUACCGCGUGGGUGAAGAAGGCCUUCUGGUUGUAAAGCCCUUUUGUUGGGAAAGAAAAGCAGCAGGUUAAUACCCCGCUGUUCUGACGGUACCCAAAGAAUAAGCACCGGCUAACUUCGUG
rnacentral:rRNA from 1 species